rnacentral:rRNA from 1 species
GUAGGUGGCUCAUUAAGUCACAUGUGAAAUCCCCGGGCUUAACCUGGGAACUGCAUGUGAUACUGGUGGUGCUAGAAUAUGUGAGAGGGAAGUAGAAUUCCAGGUGUAGCGGUGAAAUGCGUAGAGAUCUGGAGGAAUACCGAUGGCGAAGGCAGCUUCCUGGCAUAAUAUUGACACUGAGAUUCGAAAGCGUGGGUAGCAAACAGGAUUAGAUACCCUGGUAGUCCACGCCGUAAACGAUGUCUACUAGCCGUUGGGGUCCUUGAGACUUUAGUGGCGCAGUUAACGCGAUAAGUAGACCGCCUGGGGAGUACGGCCGCAAGGUUAAAACUCAAAUGAAUUGACGGGGGCCCGCACAAGCGGUGGAGCAUGUGGUUUAAUUCGAUGCAACGCGAAGAACCUUACCUGGUCUUGACAUAGUGAGAAUCUUUCAGAGAUGAGAGAGUGCCUUCGGGAAUUCACAUACAGGUGCUGCAUGGCUGUCGUCAGCUCGUGUCGUGAGAUGUUGGGUUAAGUCCCGCAACGAGCGCAACCCUUUUCCUUAUUUGCCAGCGGGUUAAGCCGGGAACUUUAAGGAUACUGCCAGUGACAAACUGGAGGAAGGCGGGGACGACGUCAAGUCAUCAUGGCCCUUACGACCAGGGCUACACACGUGCUACAAUGGUAGGUACAGAGGGUUGCUACACAGCGAUGUGAUGCUAAUCUCAAAAAGCCUAUCGUAGUCCGGAUUGGAGUCUGCAACUCGACUCCAUGAAGUCGGAA